rnacentral:rRNA from 1 species
UACGUAGGAGGCGAGCGUUGUCCGGAGUUACUGGGCGUAAAGGGUGCGUAGGCGGGUCUUUAAGUCAGGGGUGAAAUCCUGGAGCUCAACUCCAGAACUGCCUUUGAUACUGAAGAUCUUGAGUUCGGGAGAGGUGAGUGGAACUGCGAGUGUAGAGGUGAAAUUCGUAGAUAUUCGCAAGAACACCAGUGGCGAAGGCGGCUCACUGGCCCGAUACUGACGCUGAUGCACGAAAGCGUGGGGAGCAAACAGG